rnacentral:rRNA from 1 species
UACGGGGAUUAGGGUUCGAUUCCGGAGAGGGAGCCUGAGAAACGGCUACCACUUCCAAGGAAGGCAGCAGGCGCGCAAAUUACCCAAUCCCGACACGGGGAGGUAGUGACAAUAAAUAACAAUACGGGGCUCUUUAGGGUCUCGUAAUUGGAAUGAGUACAAUUUAAAUCCCUUAACGAGGAACAAUUGGAGGGCAAGUCUGGUGCCAGCAGCCGCGGUAAUUCCAGCUCCAAUAGCGUAUAUUAAAGUUGUUGCAGUUAAAAAGCUCGUAGUUGAAUUUCGGGAUUGACGCGACGGUCGUGCCUUAAGGGGCGUGAACUGUCGCCGUUGAUUUCUCACCUUCUGGAGAAGCUCGAUGUCCUUAAUUGGAUGUCUUGUGGAACCAGGACCUUUACCUUGAAAAAAUUAGAGUGUUUAAAGCAGGCAUUUUGCUCGAAUACAUUAGCAUGGAAUAAUAGAAUAGGACGGCAUGGUUCUAUUUUGUUGGUUUCUAGGAUCACCGUAAUGAUUAAUAGGGAUAGUUGGGGGCAUUAGUAUUCAAUUGUCAGAGGUGAAAUUCUUGGAUUUAUUGAAGACUAACUACUGCGAAAGCAUUUGCCAAGGAUGUUUUCAUUAAUCAAGAACGAAAGUUAGGGGAUCGAAGACGAUCAGAUACCGUCGUAGUCUUAACCAUAAACUAUGCCGACUAGGAAUCAGACGAUGUUAAUUUUUUAAUGACUCGUUUGGCACCUUACGGGAAC